rnacentral:rRNA from 1 species
GGUGGAGCGAUUUGUCUGGUUAAUUCCGAUAACGAACGAGACUCUAGCCUACUAAAUAGUGAGUGGAUCGCCUCGUCCACUUCCACUUCUUAGAGGGACAAACGGCGCUUAGCCGUACGAAAUUGAGCAAUAACAGGUCUGUGAUGCCCUUAGAUGUCCGGGGCUGCACGCGCGCUACACUGAAGGAAUCAGCGUGCAUACUAACUAGGUCCGAAAGGACCGGGUAACCCAAUCAAACUCCUUCGUGAUUGGGAUAGGGACUUGCAAUUAUUUCCCUUGAACGAGGAAUUCCCAGUAAGUGCGGGUCAUAAGCUCGCGUUGAAUACGUCCCUGCCCUUUGUAC